CCCUUAGAUGUCCUGGGCCGCACGCGCGCUACACUGACAUGUUCAACAAGCCUCCUAGUUCGACAGGAUUUGGGAAAUCUUUGAACGCAUGUCGUGAUAGGGAUAGAUCAUUGCAAUUAUUGAUCUUGAACGAGGAAUUCCUAGUAAACGCGAGUCAUCAGCUCGCAUUGAUUACGUCCCUGCCCUUUGUACACACCGCCCGUCGCACCUACCGAUUGAAUGUUUCGGUGAAGAUUCCGGAUAGGACUUUUUUGAUUUAUUUCAAUUCUGUCUUAAAAGCUAUCUAAACCUCAACAUUGAGAGGAAGGUGAAGGCGGAACA
rnacentral:rRNA from 1 species